CCUUGUUCAUUAAUGCCAAAAAAAACUAAAACAGGUUGUAUUCCUAAGGAGUACUAGGGAAUAAAUUACUACCACAAGUAUAGAGGGUUAUUCCAAUUUCAUUAUUUUAUAACCUUCCUAUAGAUGGCACAGUAAGAAAGAAUAAAUAUAGCCUAUGAAGCAUUGGGUAGCAUCCAUUUUUAUCAAAAAACUGCACCAAAAGCCUGCCCUCUCGGCUGCCACUGUGAUAAUUGGGAAUUUUACUUUCUAACUAGUUACCCAGAUAUGGACGGCAAUCAUAAUUUGUGUGAAUCAUGGUUCUCAAGCGAAUAUUACAUUUCUGAGGUUUUGAGUGAUUGGGCUGAUAGGGGUAAUCUCUGGAAUUUGGAAAGCAUCUCUUUAGGAAUUCCACAAACUGAACCUGAAUGUUGUUCACUGCAAUUAAACACAUUGCACAACGUUAGAGAUUAGCUUUAAGAAUGUC